AUACUUACCUGACAGGGGAUAUCAUGUUCAUGAAGGUGGUUUUCCCAGGGUGAGGCUGACCCACUGCACUCCAGGUGUGAGGCUUUCUGUAACUUCCCCCAAUGUGGGGAACUUGACUGCAUAAUUUGUGGUAGUAGGUGACUCUGUUAGUGCUGUCCCCUG